rnacentral:rRNA from 1 species
UACGAAGGGGGCUAGCGUUGUUCGGAAUUACUGGGCGUAAAGCGCACGUAGGCGGGUCGUUAAGUCAGGGGUGAAAUCCCAGAGCUCAACUCUGGAACUGCCUUUGAUACUGGCGACCUAGAGUUCGGAAGAGGUGAGUGGAAUUCCCAGUGUAGCGGUGAAAUGCGUAGAUAUUGGGAGGAACACCAGUGGCGAAGGCGGCUCACUGGACCGGAACUGACGCUGAGGCGCGAAAGCGUGGGGAGCAAACAGG